rnacentral:rRNA from 1 species
GAUGAACGCUGGCGGCGUGCCUAAUACAUGCAAGUCGAGCGAACAGACGAGGAGCUUGCUCCUUCGACGUUAGCGGCGGACGGGUGAGUAACACGUAGGUAACCUACCUAUAAGACUGGGAUAACUUCGGGAAACCGGAGCUAAUACCGUAUAAUCUUUCGAACCGCAUUGUUCGAUAGUGAAAGAUGGCUUUUCUAUCACUUCUAGCUGGACCUGCGCCGUAUUAGCUAGUUGGUAAGGUAACGGCUUACCAAGGCAACGAUACGUAGCCGACCUGAGAGGGUGAUCGGCCACACUGGAACUGAGACACGGUCCAGACUCCUACGGGAGGCAGCAGUAGGGAAUCUUCCGCAAUGGGCGAAAGCCUGACGGAGCAACGCCGCGUGAGUGAUGAAGGUCUUCGGAUCGUAAAACUCUGUUAUUAGGGAAGAACAAACGUGUAAGUAACUGUGCACGUCGUGACGGUACCUAAUCAGAAAGCCACGGCUAACUACGUG